AUUUUGAUUUUCACUUGCCUCAAUGGGUCUUCACAAGUGGAGUUUUGUGUCCCAAGAAGGAAAGGUAUGUAUAAGUCGACUGGCUACAUACCAGGUAGAGGCCACGGGUUAUAGUCUCACUAGUCCUGCCGGAUGUUCUCACGCACAGCAUACUUUCAUAGGUCUCGGUCUCUAGUCAUUUCCUUGUAUAUAUAUAUAUUUUAUAUUCUUCAAGCC